GUUGUGUGGUGGAUGUUCUCUGGCUGUGUCGCGUACAAUAAGAACGGUAGAAGAGUUUCUGAACUCCGGUCGCCUCGGCAGUGCGCCAUUGGCCAGCAAAGUCGCGUUUUCCUAAACCCAUAGUUCAUACCGUGUCGUCUGGCAUGGACGUAGACCACUGUUGGGUGCUGUGUCGCGUACAUACAACAAGAACCGUGGAAGAAUUUCUGAACCCUGUCCGCCCCGCCAGUAGGCCAUUGGCCAGCAAAGGCACACAGCGAUCGGACUGAGCAUAUCAAGUAGCCCCUCCUGUGACCCACAAGACCACACUAAUUUGGCCAAGGAGCCUGUCUGGACUUAUGUUGGGACUGCUGGCAGACAGUGUGUUUUUUCUGGACUUAUGUUGGGACUGCUGGUGGACAGUUUCUGUUUUUUAUGGACUUAUGCUGGGACUGCUGGCAGACAGUUUCGGUUUCAGUCUUC